AACGAACGCUGGCGGCAGGCUUAACACAUGCAAGUCGAACGAGACCUUCGGGUCUAGUGGCGGACGGGUGAGUAACACGUGGGAACGUGCCUUUAGGUUCGGAAUAACUCAGGGAAACUUGUGCUAAUACCGAAUGUGCCCUUCGGGGGAAAGAUUUAUCGCCUUUAGAGCGGCCCGCGUCUGAUUAGCUAGUUGGUGAGGUAAUGGCUCACCAAGGCGACGAUCAGUAGCCGGUCUGAGAGGAUGAUCAGCCACAUUGGGACUGAGACACGGCCCAAACUCCUACGGGAGGCAGCAGUGGGGAAUCUUGCGCAAUGGGCGAGAGCCUGACGCAGCCAUGCCGCGUGUAUGAUGAAGGUCUUAGGAUUGUAAAAUACUUUCACCGGUGAAGAUAAUGACUGUAGCCGGAGAAGAAGCCCCGGCUAACUUCGUGCCAGCCGCCGCCGUAAAAC
rnacentral:rRNA from 1 species